CUCUGUUUUGUUUUUAUUAUAGGCAUUCACUGCUAUGAGUUUCUCUCUGAGCACACGCGCUUUUGCCACAUCCCAUAUGUAUUGCUUUAACUCCCUGAAUUGCCCACAAAGUCUCCACUCUGAUCAAAUGGGUUUAUUCAUCUGGUGAUAGAAAAGAGCCUGUGCUUUGCUAUCUUUCUGCCAUAGCACUUGCUGCUUCUCCAAGCUGAGAAGGCUGGAGAUCCCUUUCUCUUUCUCCCCACGGAUCAAAUCGAAUUCAGAAAUACUGGUAAGUCUAGCUCAAAUCUCAGUCCAUAAACUCUUCCUGACCUCCUAGCAGGAAGGAAUUUUUCCUUCCAUUGAAGUCCCUUGGCACAUGGUAUUUGCACCAUUUUGAGGGGCAAUAAAAAUAUACUGUCUUGUAACAGUUCCUUGUCUUGUUUUUUUUUUUAUUUUCAAAUGUUAUUUAAAUCUUGUUUCUUACUUUCCCACUGGCAUAUUUCUAUCAUCUGGCUACAACUGUACCAAACGACGACUGAAGGAAGAGAUCAGCCUUGCCAUUUGCUCAGCACUGAACUUUGCACAUAGAAGGAGCUUGGUUGAAGACCAGGCGACGGCAAGAAGUAAAAGUGCAUCAGAUUAAAGGCUAUGCUGAAUACCUUAAAAUCCUCCACCAAACAGUUCCUUUAGCAUGCAUCAAGUUGUAUUCUCUGAGCACAAAAAUAAAUACUUUUUAAAAUAA